GCCAGGCAUAGUGGCGUGUGGCUGUAGUCCCAGCUACUCAGGAGGCUGAGGUGGGAAGAUUGUUUGAGCCCAGGAAUUUGAGGCUGCAGUGAGCUAUGAUCAAGCCCCUGCACUCCAGCCUGGGCAACAGAUCAAGACCCCAUCUCUA
rnacentral:SRP_RNA from 2 species